GAAUGCAUUUGAUUAUCAUGUGGAUGUUGCUGUUCAUCACCACCCAUUUCUAAUUAUAACAAAAACUCCAAUUACACAACAGUCAAAGUCGAUGUGAUUCAUGGUCAGACUACAGAAGAUCAAAUACGACAAAAGAAAAGGAAAAACCUUACCUACAGUCGAAGUUGUGCGUCGGCGUCGCUGCAGAAGCGGGCGGAGGCGGAGACCGGUCUGGUGGCAAUGGCGGCGGCUUGCAGAUCUGAGGGAGGCAGCCGGAAGAUCGGAGAUGGAG